rnacentral:rRNA from 1 species
GAUGAACGCUGGCGGCGUGCCUAAUACAUGCAAGUCGAGCGAACAGACGAGGAUCUUGCUCUUCUGACGUUAGCGGCGGACGGGUGAGUAACACGUGGAUAACCUACCUUUAAGACUGGUAUAACUUCGGGAAACCGGAGCUAAUACCGGAUAAUAUAUUGAACCGCAUGGUUCAUUAGUGAAAGACGGUUUUGCGGUCACUUAUAGAUGAAUCCGCGCCGCAUUAGCUAGUUGGUAAGGUAACGGCUUACCAAGCCAACGAUGCGUAGCCGACCUGCGAGGGUGAUCGGCCACACUGGAACUGAGACACGGUCCAGACUCCUACGGGAGGCAGCAGUAGGGAAUCGUCCGCAAUGGGCGAAAGCUUGACGGAGCAACGCCGCGUGAGUGAUGAAGGUCUUCGGAUCGUAAAACUCUGUUAUUAGGGAAGAACAAAUGUGUAAGUAACUAUGCACGUCUUGACGGUACCUAAUCAGAAAGCCACGGCUAACUACGUG